rnacentral:rRNA from 1 species
CAGAGGGGGCAAGCGUUGUUCGGAAUUACUGGGCGUAAAGGGCGCGUAGGCGGCCUCCUAAGUCGAACGUGAAAUCCCUGGGCUCAACCCAGGAACUGCGUCCGAUACUGGGAGGCUUGAAUCCGGGAGAGGGAUGCGGAAUUCCAGGUGUAGCGGUGAAAUGCGUAGAUAUCUGGAGGAACACCGGUGGCGAAGGCGGCAUCCUGGACCGGUAUUGACGCUGAGGCGCGAAAGCCAGGGGAGCAAACGGGAUUAGAUACCCCGGUAGUCCUGGCCCUAAACGAUGAAUGCUCGGUGUGGCGGGUAUCGAUCCCUGCCGUGCCGAAGCUAACGCAUUAAGCAUUCCGCCUGGGGAGUACGGUCGCAAGGCUG